rnacentral:rRNA from 1 species
CGGCGCGGUCGGGCAUGGGCGCAGCCUGAUCCAGCAUGCCGCGUGUGUGAAGAAGGCCUUCGGGUUGUAAAGCACUUUUGUCCGGAAAGAAAACCUUCGCCCGAAUACGGUGGGGGGAUGACGGUACCGGAAGAAUCAGCACCGGCUAACUACGUGCCAGCAGCCGCGGUAAUUA